GAUGAACGCUGGCGGCGUGCCUAAUACAUGCAAGUCGAGCGAACAGACGAGGAGCUUGCUCCUCUGACGUUAGCGGCGGACGGGUGAGUAACACGUGGAUAACCUACCUAUAAGACUGGGAUAACUUCGGGAAACCGGAGCUAAUACCGGAUAAUAUAUUGAACCGCAUGGUUCAAUAGUGAAAGACGGUUUUGCUGUCACUUAUAGAUGGAUCCGCGCCGCAUUAGCUAGUUGGUAAGGUAACGGCUUACCAAGGCGACGAGGCGUAGACGACCUGAGAGGGUGAUCGGCCACACUGGAACAGAGACGCGGUCCAGACUCCUACGGGAGGCAGCAGUAGGGUAUGGUCCGCAAUGGGCGAAAGCUUGACGGAGCAACGCCGCGUGAGUGAUGAAGGUCUUCGGAUCGUAAAACUCUGUUAUUAGGGAAGAACAAAUGUGUAAGUAACUAUGCACGUCUUGACGGUACCUAAUCAGAAAGCCACGGCUAACUACGUG
rnacentral:rRNA from 1 species